AUGUCACCAAAGCGAUGGCGCGUCUCACCAUCCACAGAUUGGGGCAUGCAAGAGGGGGCACGUCUCUCCUUCUGUCACCACCACAUCUGUCUCUCCAGACCUAACUGCGCCCAGAGAGAGAAUUCAAUGUCCUUCACUCCAGUCGGGGGCCCACUCCAGGGGGGACAAGUUUCUGCAGGCCAGAAGCAUCCAGGGUCUUGCUCACCUGGGCUCCGGGUCACUUACUCGAACAAGUUGGGGAGUUGUGUGGGAAUAGACCCCUGUGAACCUGUCCCCCAUGAAUGGAAGCCCAGUCACCAGAGAACUGACCCCUCUGCCUGCUUGGCCACCGGAAGUCCUGGCUCCAUCUUCCUGAGCGGGUGGGGUUCCUGGAAGGACAGACUGAAGCUCGGGGCUGAGGUCUGACUCUGCCUGUGUCAUACGUGGGUUUGACAAGCUAUCAUCUGCGUACCUGUGUGCUGGGGUUGACCUGUGUGCACUUUCUUUCCUGCUCUAAAGAAAGACAAGAAUCUAUGUCCGGGGUCAAACGGGGAAGCGAGGAAAACCUGUGAGGUGGGUGUGCUAUUUUUGUUUGGAAACUGAAAAUCUUGGUUCUUAUCAUGGAAUUUUGUACUGAGAACAAUAUCUUUAAAAUUGAAA